UGCCUACGGGACGCAGCAGUCGGGAAUAUUGCGCAAUGGAGGAAACUCUGACGCAGUGACGCCGCGUAUAGGAAGAAGGUUUUCGGAUUGUAAACUAUUGUCGUUAGGGAAGAUAAAAGACUGUACCUAAGGAGGAAGCCCCGGCUAACUAUGUGCCAGCAGCCGCGGUAAUACAUAGGGGGCAAGCGUUAUCCGGAUUUAUUGGGUUUAAAGGGUGCGUAGGCGGGCUUUUAAGUCAGCGGUAAAAAUUCGGGGCUCAACCCCGUCCGGCCGUUGAAACUGGGGGCCUUGAGUGGGCGAGAAGA
rnacentral:rRNA from 1 species